UACGUAGGGGGCAAGCGUUGUCCGGAUUCAUUGGGCGUAAAGCGCGGGCAGGCGGCCCGCUCAGUCGGCCGUGAAAGCGCCGGGCUCAACUCGGCGAGGUCGGGCGAUACUGGCGGGCUCGAGGCUGGUAGAGGGCGGUGGAAUUCCGGGUGUAGUGGUGGAAUGCGUAGAGCUCCGGAGGAACACCAGUGGCGAAGGCG
rnacentral:rRNA from 1 species